CGGACGGAAGCUCAGAGGCAGAGCAGCGGCGUAUGCCGUUGGCCACCGGUUCGAAUCCGGUUCGUCCACCCC
rnacentral:tRNA from 1 species